rnacentral:rRNA from 1 species
UCAAGAGUACGUGAAACUGCUUAGAGGUUAAGCCCGAUGAACCUGAAUAUCCAUUAUGGAAAAUUCAUCACUAAUUGUUUUAUAUUAUUUAUAAUAUUUGAUGAGUUGUGUGCAAUUUUUCCAUAUAAGGACAUUGUAAUCUGUUAAUGCCUUAAUUGCGUAUCAUAAGAUCUAUUACUUAUGUUUAUUCAUUGUUUUAGUGUAUUUAUAUGCUGAAUGGGAUAAAUGUAAUGGUAUCGGAUAUGCCAUUGACAGAUUUACUAUAUAUUGCGCUUAAAUCCUUGUGAUUUUAUAAUAAUAUUUUAUACAUAUGUAUUUGAUGUUUAUUAUAUGCGUAUAUAUGAUUAACAAUGCGAUAGAUUCAGGAUACCUUCGGGACCCGUCUUGAAACACGGACCAAGGAGUCUAACAUAUGUGCAAGUCAUUGGGUUUUUAAAACCUAAAGGCGUAAUUAACUUAACUGUUAAUGGGAUCAGUUUAUAUUUUUUAUAAAUCUAAAUUCAAUCCCGGGGCGUUCUAUAUAGUUAUGUAUGAUGGUACUUGUAUUAUUUAUGCCUCUAACUGGAGCGUACCUUGAGCAUAUAUGCUGUGAC